GUAUUACUUCCUCUGUUCGGAAUUACUUGUCUCGAAAAUGGAUGUAUCUAGAACUAAAAUACGUCUAGAUACAUCCAUUUCUGCGACAAGUAAUUCCGAACGAAGGGAGUACUAG
rfam:Triticum aestivum genome assembly, contig: Triticum_aestivum_CS42_TGACv1_scaffold_249324_3DL